CCUGAAGCAGCAACGCCGCGUGGGGGAUGACGGCCUUCGGGUUGUAAACCUCUUUUCCCGGGGACGAUAAUGACGGUACCCGGGGAAUAAGUCACGGCUAACUACGUGC
rnacentral:rRNA from 1 species